UUUUUUUUUUUUUUUAAUGGAUGCCAUUGUUGUCUUAUGAACCUAUUGCUACAUAACAAACUGCCCAAAACUUGGUGGUUUAAAGCAGCAACCAUAUAUUGGGCUCACAGGUCUCUGGGUCAACAAUACGGGCUGUGUGCAACUGGUCUCUCUCACAUGUCUGUGGUCAGCUUCCUUCCACGGAGUCCAAUGUCUUGGGUCAUUGGCUGGUGGUUGGCUGGGGCCACCUCCUUCUCACCCUCCAGCAGACUGGUCCAGGCUUGUUCCUAUGGAGACUGGCAGGGUUCUAACAGUGUGAUUAGAGAAGCUGCAAAACCUCUUGAUGCCCCAGGCUCAGAGCUGAUGCGACGUCAUUUCGGCCACAUCCUAUUGGCCAGAACCUGUCACAAGGCCCUGCCCAGGCUCAAAGGGUAAGGAAAUAGACCCAGCCACUGAUGAGAGAGACCACAUUCCAACCAAGGAUGCCCACAGAAUGGGGUGGAUAAUAUUAGCAAACAUCUACGAUUAUAUCUCCAAUAAUUCUGGGAAUGAGGAAAACGAAGUUCAACAUGUUCUUAUAAAUCCCUCUGUAGGUUGCAGAUGUGUUCGAGUGCAUUGUGUGUGGUGUCCUGACAAAGCCCUUUUGGUUUUGUGUGUCACAAGGGCUUGGGGCGCUGAGAAUCAGCCUUGGGGACCACCGCUCUCCCGCUUCGAAUUCCCAGCCGGAAUAAAGGAAGGCAUCUGUUUUCAUAAUUUAGGGGAUAAAGUGCCAUCGCUAGGGCAGACAUUUUUGUGGGGAAGGUUGUCUUGUUUUAUAGGAGGGUUGACAGGGGAAAUUAAGCCCCAUUUAGUCCCUCGACCUUUGGUUUCCAAACUGGAAAGAGCACAGUGUGUGUUCCAAUAGCCUCCCUGAAGUCAUUAUUGCUUCAGAGCCAGCUGAAUUGCUUGAUAAUAGCGAUUCUUUGCACUUGUAGAAUGUGUUUCCUCUGAGGAGGGCCAAGUAAUUUACAAUCACUUAUUAAUUAAUCCUCAGUCCCCUGCAUGAGAUGCGGCUGCGAUGCGGCUGCGUCAUUGUGUAUCUUUGACAGAUGUGUGAAGUGGCCAAAGGGAGACAAAGCGACAUUAAGCCUCUGCCCAAGGUCACUUGUCUAACUCACUGGACACCGUCCCAGCUCCACCAGCCUCCCCAUCCGCCCUGCAAGCCUUUCCCACAGAAGCGCUGGAAUUUCUCGGGGCUGGUUCCAGCCAUUGCAGAAAGCCUGACUUUUUCAGAUCAAACGUGAGGAUUUUGUUGUUCCAUUUUGGGAGGGGGUGGGAUGGGUGGUUCAUUUCUCACUGUUCUGUUUUUGGUUCUGGUGUUGAUGUGCACAGCUUUAGACCUGCCGCGUAGAUGUCCAAGAAGAGCUGGUUCAAAAAGCGUGGCUUUUGCAUUUUGUUCAGGCACAUCACUUACUGGGGAAAGCAUUCUCCCAGCUGAAAGAGGAAGCACUUCCAGCUCACAGAAUGUGAAAGGGGGCUUGAGAGAGAAGGAGGGGAGUGCGUGUUGCCUCCACCAGUGACUUGUAUUUUCGCAGCAACGUCCAAUUAGGAGAUAAACGCCAAUUUGCUUUUCUAAACCGAUUGUACUCACACCAACACUCAGAAAACGGGAGCCCACUUCGCUUAGCAGAGGAACACAUCCGCAGAAAAAGCUACCGGCUACAGAAGAGUCUUUGAGCUGACUUUCAGGCAUCCUUUCCAAUUUAUUUUCAAAAGGAUCUCUUACCUAAGUAUGUGUUUUUUCCCACACAUACAAACGAAACCAGCCAGAGUGGGUUUGUUUUUGUACAGAGAAGCAAGAACCUGUCAAAUCGAAAGAAGAGCUUACUCGGUACAUUGGAGACUCAGAAAGUGUGAGGCAGAUACUUCAGUAAUGAGGCAAUGAGAGCCACAGCCAGCCUUGGGAGCUGUACCAGAUGUGCUGCAGUCACAGCUGGCACGUGAGAAAAGACAGCUGGAAGGACAUGAAAAGCCAGGGGCCACAAAGGAGUAAUUAAGCAAGGUGACUUCCAGGCUCAGUGCAAUAGACGAAAGCCUUGUCAUGUUUGAACUUUGAGGAAUACUCUUUGCAUAGGAUCCAGUCAAAGUUAUGCCAACUGGUGGAGCUCCCUCCCUCCCUUCCUCCCUUCUCUCCUUUACCAAAUGUUUAUUGAGCAUUUCUUUUGUUGAAAGCCAUGUUCUGGGACUCUGGAGGGAGGUACUCAAAGCCAGCAGCCCACAGUGGAACCUUCAGUGACUUAAUUUUCUUGUACUUUCUCCCCCUCCCACACUGCCCCCUGCAGGCCCGUGCGCCAUUGUGUUCCGAUGGGUAUAGUAUCCCUCCCAUUCCUGGUGGACUAGGAUGGAAAGGAGAACUCUGUUCUAGGAAACCAUCUAAUAAGGUUUCCAGGAAAACCCAAAUUCUCCAGGUCUCAAAGGAAGGAGGCAUGAUGGCAGAGUUCCACUUAGCAAGCUUGCCCUUGUGGGACAGAAGCGGUGUCACCCAUGCACCCUCGUCGCUGUAAGAGCCUCUCAGAGUGGGGCCUGGGGAGUCUGACUUUGAGAAAGUCAUGGUGUCUGGGGACUGGCCUGCACUUACAGCUACAGGUCUCCUAUCAAGAGGUUCCUAUGAGACCCCAGCACAUUGUCAUAUUGCUCUCAUUUCUCUCUUCUUUUUUGUCCCUGGGUCCUGAGAUCAAUCUGAACGACUGGUGAAUGGAUAUCCUUACCUGUGUUUUAACUAAUUGCUCAUUAUUGAGUGAAAUGUAGUAUCUUCCUUCCCAUCAGCCCUCACCUCCUAAAUUCUCUUGAUUACAUUCCAAAGCCAUGUUCAGCUAGUUCCAACCUCAUCUCCACGCCUGCGUGACCCUGGGUGGGAGAUUUAACUUCUGGAUCUCAGCCCUUGCUUCUGCUAUCUGUUUUACAGGGUCACUAUUAAAAAGAACUAAAAUCACCUCGGCAUUUGGCACUGAGUCCACAGAAAGUAGGUAAAUGUUCAUUCUUUUCACUGCCCCCCUCCAAUCUCUUCCCCUCUGUUUCCAUGAAGUUUGCUCAAUUAUAUUUGACUUAGGUGAUGGGCUGCUUUGUAUAAAAGUUGGUGACAACUAGCCCUUUAAAGUGAUGGUGAGGAGUUCCUGUAGUGGCUCGGUGGUUAACAAAUCCGACUAGGAACCAUGAGGUUGCAGGUUCGAUUCCUGGCCUUGCUCUGUGGGUUAAGGAUCUGGCAUUGCCGUGAGCUGUGGUGUAGGUCGCAGAUGCAGCUUGGAUCCCGUAUUGCCGUGGCUCUGGCAGAGGCCAGUGGCUACAGCUCUGAUUCUAUCCCUAGCCUGGGAACCUCCGUAUGCUGUGGGAGUGGCCCUAGAAAAGGCAAAAAGACAAAAAAAAAAAAAAGUGAUGAUGAAUAAUUUAAAGAAAAGGGAAGCAGACUCUGCAUUGACUCACAAAGGUAACAAAAAUAGAAAUGAAACGCAGCCUUGGGGGGGGGGCUGCAAAGUGGGGAUAAGACAGGAAUCAUACUUGAUUUGCAUGUGCUCGUUCACCAGGGAGUUGCAAACAGUCAUUAUUUAUUAUCAGAUUCUAUCAUUUCAAAUAUUUACAAAGCAUUUAUCAAAUCAACACAACCAUGUUUCAGAAUAAAGUCAUCUUUCAGAAAUUUACCAUAGAAGAGAGUCACUGUAUUUCAGGAGACAAAAGGAAAUGAUAGAUGAUGAUAAACCAAGUUGCUACCCAAAGGGGAUAUAAAUAUGAUACAAAAGAACCCCAGAGAAUAAACAUGUGAUGUUGGUAAAGGAUUUGUUUGCUUUGGGUAGAUCCUUGAGUGACUGCCAACAUCCAUCUAUGCACAAACUAAUAAAAUAUGUACACAUAAAGUGCAAAGUUUGGCAGACAUCUGUGAAAUAGCAGCUAGUGGAUAAUGAGUUAACACAUGCUCUGGAGAAAACCUCAUUUUUCUGACCUAUUUGUCAAUGAAGGAUAACAAAGAAGAUCCUACAAGAAGCAAAGAGAAAUUCUACCUCUUACCAAAAUCAUCUAUUGCCUGGUCUAUAGCACCACCAGGCACCUAAGCCACAAAAGCACCAGAGUAGGACCAGCCACCCCUAAACUGGCCAUUGCCCCCUUCCUGGGACCAGCUGGAACAAACCCAGAAGCAAAUGUUCAGAUAGCCUCCUGCUUUGAGCCCUGCUCAGUGCAACAAUAUUUCUGUAAUUCCACGCUCUUAGGGAAAGAAAUGUAUCUUCACUUGCAUUUUAUUUUGAACCAAAUACACUUUGGGAAAAUCCAAAAGAAAGGGUUAUUCCCUGCCUCCCCCUUCCCUAAGCAAUGUCUUACAGCGUAAUUAAAGACAGUCAUGACUCUAGGGACAGAAAACAGGUUCACAUUCUAAACCAGCUAUAGCAUAACAUGUUCCCUCCCCAAGCAGGAAUCAGGAAAAACAGAGAGAGCGCAAGCCGGGCCUUCUGAAGGUCACCACACCAAGGGAAGUUGAUGCAACUCACCUCCAAUUUUAAAAAGAGGCAGAAAAAACCAGAAGCAGCAGUUGCUGGUCCACUGAGCUGUAUUGGUAUUUGGUCAGGGAGACAGGCCUGCAAAGAUUAUGAAGGUCCCACAUUAGCAAUACACAACAUAGGCAGAGCAAACCAAACAGGGCUUGCUGGUGUGCUGACUGGGACACACACACUCAUCAGAUACACUUUCUUUAAAGAGAUGUCCACAGGAGUUCCUGUUGUGGUACAACAGAAAUGAACCACACUAGUAUCCAUGAGGACUCAAUCCCUGGCCUUGCUCAGUGGGUUACGGAUCAGGCGUUGCCGUGAGCUGCGGUGUGGGUCACAGACGUGGGUAGGAUCUGGUGUUGCUGUGGCCAUGGUAUAGGCCAGCAGCUUUAGCUCAGAUUCAACCUCUAGCCUGGGAACCUCCAUAUGCCACAGGUAUGGCCUUUAAAAAAAAAGAGAGAGAGGUGUCCCCAAAUGAAAAACACUGAUUUCUCUCAGCAAAUUUGAACUUCUCUAACCUUCUGCUCUGAAGGCACUGUGGGACAAAUCUGAGCAAGCCCACACUUCCUUUCACUAAGUGGGACAUGCCAUCUUUUGACAGGAAGACUUUCUCAUGCUUUCCAAAACAACAGAUGAUGGCAUGGUUACGGCUUGAGGUAUCAGGCACAGAGUCAGAAUCCCUAAACCUCUCCGUGCUGUCUAUCCCUGAUUAUAAUCGGGUAAGA
rnacentral:lncRNA from 1 species